rnacentral:rRNA from 1 species
UCGGGAAUAUUGGACAAUGGGCGAAAGCCUGAUCCAGCAAUGCCGCGUGAGUGAUGAAGGUCUUAGGAUUGUAAAGCUCUUUUGACGAGGAAGAUAAUGACGGUACUCGUAGAAUAAGCACCGGCUAAUUUCGUGCCAGCAGCCGCGGUAAUACGAAAGGUGCUAGCGUUACUCGGAUUUACUGGGCGUAAAGCGCGUGUAGGCUGAUUUGUAAGUUAGUUGUUAAAACCCGAAGCUUAACUUCGGACAUGCAACUAAAACUGCAAAUCUUGAAUAUGGUAGGGGACAAUGGAAUUUCUUGUGUAGGGGUAAAAUCCGUAGAUAUAAGAAGGAACACCAAAGGCUAACGCAAUUGUCUGGGCCAUUAUUGACGCUGAGACGCGAAAGCGUGGGUAGCAAA